UACGUAGGCAGCGAGCGUUGUUCGGAAUUACUGGGCGUAAAGAGUGUGUAGGCGGUGUUCCCAGUCUGUUGUGAAAUCUCCCGGCUUAACUGGGAGGGUGCAGCGGAAACUAGAAUGCUAGAGGGUGGGAGAGGUAAGCGGAAUUCCUGGUGUAGCGGUGAAAUGCGUAGAUAUCGGGAGGAACACCUGUGGCAAAAGCGGCGCACUGGACCACAACUGACGCUGAGGCGCGAAAGCUAGGGGAGCAAACAGG
rnacentral:rRNA from 1 species